rnacentral:lncRNA from 1 species
AGGUCAAACACUAGUGUGGCUGUGACAUGAUGAUCAGAGCCCUCGACGGUGAUCAGAUUGCGGUGAUCGACUACCCGCAAAAGGUGAUGUAUUUUGAACACAGUACAGUAAAAAGUUUACUGUUUUAAAUUUGAAUUUCAAAUUUAAAUGCAUGCUGCUGUAUCAUAUUUAGAUCCUAGUAUAUGGUUAAUUAGUAUUAAUUAAUGAGAUUAAUUAAUAAUUCUACUGUAAAAUAGUAAUUUUAAAAAGUUUUAAAAUUACCAUUUUGCCCCUGCACUGAAUUUUCGCAUCAAUGGUAGUGCCUCAUCAAUGAACACAUCUGGUCAAGAAUCAAC